rnacentral:lncRNA from 1 species
UGAGGGGCAAAAUGCAACUUCUCGCUGCCCACAGCCUAAGAGAUGUCCAGGAAGGGGCAGGGAAGCACGAACAGGACCCCACAGCCACGUGAGCUGUCAAAGUUAGUCCGUUAGACACGCGGAAGGGACGGGAGACGUCACCACGGUGCGAAUGCAGCCCACUCCCUCUGCAGCGCUGUCAGACGUCUGUGUACCAUGGCCCUCGUAAAAUCGAGCACUGGGUCUUUUGCUAACGUUGUGCGUGUGCCACGGCGCAGCCGAGACAUGUGAGCUGCAGAGUGGAUGUCACCCGCAGAAGCAGACGGACCCUUCAUUCUUACACCUCCGUCACAAGUAGAGCUGCCAUGGAAGUUCUGAUCCCCAGUUGCAGCACAUUUUCAGAAAUUUGCCUUGAACACUUUCUUGCUGACAGAUCUUCAGUGACAUCCAGGAGGACAGGGAGGGCAGGUCUUGCUAGCUGUCAGGAUUCUUCUAGGCUGAGAGCUGCCCCUAAAAGGAAACAACCGGGCUGUGUGCUGCUGCAGGAUCUCGACGUUGACUCAUCGGAUGCAUUUCCAACUCCAGCGGCUCAAGACAGGUCCCUGCCACACCAGAGGCUCAGCAGAGCCUGCAUUCUGCAGAUGGGUGAAUCUGCUGCCUUCCGGCCGUUCCUGUGCCCUGGCUCAGAUGCAGCUCUGGCCUUUGCCACUCUUCCUGGACACAUGACUUCUGUGCCUCAGUUUCCUGGCCUGUGCUGGUGACGACACUCUAACCAUAUGGCCACGUAGGGUAGGGCAGCUGGAGUUGCGGACUUGCCGUGUGUUGUGGGUGGUUGCCUCAGCUGUGUGUGACAUGGCAAGAAAGAACAGCCGCUCAAGUGAGGUGGACAUGAGUUUCUCGCUCAGAUCUGAGAAGCUCAGCAGGCAGCAGCUUGUGGCCUGGUGUGUGGGCUCUGCUUCCCACUGCCCAGGGCUUCUGUCCCUUGCCUCCAUCAUCCCUGCCCACGUGGCCACCCCAUGUCCUCAGCGGGCCUGCUUCCCCAGGGGAUUCUGCCUGCUGUCAACCUGGUCAUCACUCGGAGAGGGAGAGAUGCUUGAUGGGUGUUUUGAUGGGGCCUGAGGACUCAGGGAGGACCGAGGGGCUCACCGUCCCUCCCUGCCAGGACACGGAGGCUGCCUUCGAGGACAGUAAGUGGCCUCGUCCUGUUUGCUGCACAUGUGUAAAGGACAUCUCUCCUGGAGACAUUAGCAGCAAAUAUUCAGAGAAAUAAGUUAAAACGAGGGGCAAAAGAAUGCAACUCAGGCGAUGUCACAUCUUUUCCACAACUGAGCUGGCAAAUGUGUGUUGUUUAUGGUUUUCAUGUGGAAUGUGAACUCUGGGGAGAAGAACAGAUGUUUUAAUAAUUAAGUGCCCACUUGAGAUGACUUGCGGGGUAUUAGAAACAUUUAUGUAGAAAUGAUCAGGAAUUUUGUGGAGGGCUUUGACCUAAAACUUCAAACUAAGCAUGGUCUGCUACUGAGGUUCCUUGAGGCCUGUGGUGACUUGGUGUUGGGGGCGUGAGGUUGCUGGGUGCACUUCAUCCUCAAAGCCUGCCUGCCUGCCGCAGUGAGCAGAAGAGCAGCUGGUGGAUACGAAGCAGAAGCGGGGGCCGAGGCAGUCCCCUCCUGUGGGACCAGGUUCCAUAAACCGCAGGCUGUCCCCAGAGGGAAGAGCACACCUUCAAAACAGCGCUUUCCUUGGUUAUAAAGGUGAUAGCCUGUCACUGUCACAGGGACAACAAAGCACAGUGUGAAACCAAAUGUCCACAUGGUUGGGAUGAGCUUGGUGGUGCACUCAGUCUACGGCUCAUAUUUUCUCGUGAAGAUGUUUAAAAAUUCCUAUUUAUGAUAAAAUAAAAUAUACUGCUAAAAGGUAAACUGAGGCACAAUAAAAUUCUCAAGGAGUUUGUUGGCGCACAUAGUGACCUAUGAAUUGGGCAGCCCUGAGCCAGAAGGGACUUGGGCUCCAGUGCAGGAACCCGGGGACCAGAGAAUGGGCUGAGAGGGACAGUGAGGACAACAC